AGUGAACGCUGGCGGUAGGCCUAACACAUGCAAGUCGAACGGCAGCACAGUAAGAGCUUGCUCUUACGGGUGGCGAGUGGCGGACGGGUGAGGAAUACAUCGGAAUCUACUUUUUCGUGGGGGAUAACGUAGGGAAACUUACGCUAAUACCGCAUACGACCUACGGGUGAAAGCAGGGGAUCUUCGGACCUUGCGCGAUUGAAUGAGCCGAUGUCGGAUUAGCUAGUUGGCGGGGUAAAGGCCCACCAAGGCGACGAUCCGUAGCUGGUCUGAGAGGAUGAACAGCCACACUGGAACUGAGACACGGUCCAGACUCCUACGGGAGGCAGCAGUGGGGAAUAUUGGACAAUGGGCGCAAGCCUGAUCCAGCCAUACCACGUGGGUGAAGAAGGCCUUCGGGUUGUAAAGCCCUUUUGUUGGGAAAGAAAAGCAGCAGGUUAAAACCCCGCUGUUCUGACGGUACCCAAAGAAUAAGCACCGGCUAACUUCGUG
rnacentral:rRNA from 1 species